GCCUGGGUGGCUCAGUCGGUUGAGCGUCCGACUUCAGCUCAGGUCAUGAUCUCAAGGUCUGUGAGUUCGAGCCCCACAUCAGGCU
rnacentral:tRNA from 1 species